UACGAAGGGGGCUAGCGUUGCUCGGAAUUACUGGGCGUAAAGGGCGCGUAGGCGGAUAUUUAAGUUGGGGGUGAAAUCCCGGGGCUCAACCUCGGAAUUGCCUUCAAAACUGGAUAUCUUGAGUUCGGGAGAGGUGAGUGGAACUCCGAGUGUAGAGGUGAAAUUCGUAGAUAUUGGGAAGAACACCGAUGGCGAAGGCAGCCAUCUGGACCGACACUGACGCUGAGGCGCGAAAGCGUGGGGAGCAAACAGG
rnacentral:rRNA from 1 species